rnacentral:rRNA from 1 species
UACGGAGGGUGCAAGCGUUAUCCGGAUUCACUGGGUUUAAAGGGUGCGUAGGCGGGCAGGUAAGUCAGAGGUGAAAUCUCCGGGCUUAACCCGGAAACUGCCUUUGAUACUAUCUGUCUUGAACAUGGUGGAGGUAAGCGGAAUAUGUCAUGUAGCGGUGAAAUGCUUAGAGAUGACAUAGAACACCCAUUGCGAAGGCAGCUUACUACGCCUAUAUUGACGCUGAGGCACGAAAGCGUGGGGAUCAAACAGG